CUCAAAUUUGUAAUCUGGCGUCCUUCGGGCGUCCGAGUUGUAAUCUAUAGAAGUGUUUUCCGUGCCGGACCAUGUCCAAGUCCCUUGGAACAGGGUAUCAAAGAGGGUGACAAUCCCGUACUUGACAUGACCACCGGUGCUCUGUGAUACACUUUCUACGAGUCGAGUUGUUUGGGAAUGCAGCUCAAAAUGGGUGGUAAAUUCCAUCUAAAGCUAAAUAUUGGCGAGAGACCGAUAGCGAACAAGUACCGUGAGGGAAAGAUGAAAAGCACUUUGGAAAGAGAGUUAAACAGUACGUGAAAUUGUUGAAAGGGAAACGAUUGAAGUCAGUCGUGUUCUUUGGACUCAGCCGGUUCUUCCGGUCUAUUUCCUUUGAACGGGUCAACAUCAGUUUUGUCCGGUGGAUAAAGGCAGGAAGAAAGUGGCUCCCUCGGGAGUGUUAUAGCUUUCUGUCACAUACACUGGAGGAGACUGAGGACUGCAGCUCGCCUUUUGGCCGGGGUUCGCCCACGUUCGAGCUUAGGAUGUUGACAUAAUGGCUUUAAAC
rnacentral:rRNA from 1 species